rnacentral:rRNA from 1 species
UACGUAGGGGGCGAGCGUUAUCCAGAAUUAUUGGGCGUAAAGCGCACGCAGGCGGUUCGCCAAGUUCGCAGUGACACUCCCCGGCUUAACCGGGGAACGAUUGCGAAAACUGGUGGACUUGAGAGCGAGAGAGGGACAUGGAAUUCCGGGUGGAGCAGUGACAUGCGUAGAGAUCCGGAGGAACACCAAGGCGAAGGCAGUGUCCUGGCUCGUGUCUGACGCUGAGGUGCGAAAGCCAGGGGAGCGAACGGG